rnacentral:rRNA from 1 species
GAGGAAGUAAAAGUCGUAACAAGGUUUCCGUAGGUGAACCUGCGGAAGGAUCAUUAAAGAAUUUUGAAAGGGGUUGUAGCUGGCCGGAAGGCAUGUGCACGCCUCGAUCAUCAUCCAUCUUACACCUGUGCACACACACUGUAGGUCGGUUUUGUGGGGUGAGGUCUUCAUUGACUUUGCUUUGCGGGCCUUCCUAUGUUUUAUCACAAACUACUAGUUUAAAGAAUGUCUAUCGCGUGUAACGCAUUUAUAUACAACUUUCAGCAACGGAUCUCUUGGCUCUCGCAUCGAUGAAGAACGCAGCGAAAUGCGAUAAGUAAUGUGAAUUGCAGAAUUCAGUGAAUCAUCGAAUCUUUGAACGCACCUUGCGCUCCUUGGUAUUCCGAGGAGCAUGCCUGUUUGAGUGUCAUGGAAUUCUCAACUUCGCUUGCUUUUGUGAACGAAGCUUGGACUUGGAGGCAUUGUCGGCUGUAUUAUACGGUCGGCUCCUCUUGAAUCUAUUAGCUCGAACCUUUGUGGAUCAGCUUCGGUGUGAUAAUUGUCUACGCUGUUCUGUGAAGCAUCAUUGUGGGUUUCGGCUUCGAAUAGUCCUUCACUGGACAAUAUCUUUGACCUUUGACCUCAAAUCAGGUAGGAUUACCCGCUGAACUUAAGCAUAUCA